rnacentral:rRNA from 1 species
UGGUAAAAUGUGAUGUACCUAGUAAUAUUAGUGAUUAAUAUGAGGCUAACCGAGUUAGUUAAAAUUCUAAGUAUAUAUGUGAUUAUGACAAUAUGUGCUUAUUUCUUGACCAAGUCACGUGCCAGCCGUCGCGGUAAUACGUGGAAGAUCAGUGUUAUUCAUCUUUAUCAGGUUUAAAGGGUACCUAGACGGUUAAUUAAGCUUUAGUAGGAACUAAUUAACUAGAGUUUAAUGUAAGAAUGAUUGAGUACGGUGAGUGUAGAGAUAAAAUUCUGUCAUACCACUUAGGAACUGGUAAAAGCGAAGGCAACUUUCUAUGUAAAAACUGACGUUAAGGGACGAAGGCUCGUAUCAAAUAACAGGAUUAGAUACCCCAGCAUUGUGGGCAGACAAUGAUGAGUGUCAUAUGCAAGAGAUAAAAAAAAAUAUUUUGUGUAUAAAUGAAAGUGUAAGCACUCCACCUCAAGAGUAACGUGGCAACAUGGGAACUGAAAUCAUUAGACCGUUUCUGAAACUCGUAGUGAAGUAUGUUGUUUAAUUAGAUGGUGCACAAAUAACCUUACCACAAUUUGUAUAACUAUAGUACAUAAUAAUAAUAUAGUUACAAGCGUUGCACGGCUGUCUUUAGUCUAUGUUGUGAAACUGUGGUUAGAUCCAUUAAAUAGACGUAAACCCUUACUUUAUUUAUUAUAAAGUAGUUCGCCGAUAUAUUGGUAGUGAUAUA